CUCCCUUUCCACCUCGUUUUGUUGCUUUAUUUUGGGGUUUGGCCCCGGUUUUUUACGUCUUCCCCAUUCCCAGUUUCCCCCAAUUCCCAAUUUCCCAUUCCCAGUUUAUUUCCCAUUCCCAAUUUCCCAUUCCCAAUUUCCCAUUCCCAGUUUCCCAUUCCCAGUUUCCCAUUCCAAAUUUCCCAUUCCCAGUUUCCCAUUCCCAAUUUCCCAUUCCCAGUUUAUUUCCAUUCCCAAUUUCCCAUUCCCAAUUUCCCAUUCCCAAUUUCCCAUUCCCAGUUUCCCAUUCCCAAUUUCCCAUUCCCAGUUUCCCAUUCCCAAUUUCCCAUUCCCAAUUUCCCAUUCCCAGUUUAUUUUCCAUUCCCAAUUUCCCAUUCCCAGUUUCCCAUUCCCAAUUUCCCAUUCCCAGUUUCCCAUUCCCAGUUUCCCAUUCCCAAUUUCCCAUUCCCAGUUUCCCAUUCCCAGUUUCCCAUUCCCAGUUUCCCAUUCCCAUUCCAUUUCCCAUUCCCAGUUUCCCAUUCCCAGGUUUCCCAUUCCCAGUUUCCCAUUCCCAGUUUCCCAUUCCCAGUUUCCCAUUCCCAGUUCCCCAUUCCCAGUUCCCCAUUCCCAUUCCCAGUUCCCCAUUCCCAGUUUCCCAUUCCCAGUUCCCCAUUCCCAUUCCCAGUUUCCCAUUCCCGGUUUCCCAUCCCCAUUCCCAGUUUCCCAUUCCCAGUUUCCCAUUCCCAGUUUCCCAUUCCCAGUUUCCCAUUCCCAGUUCCCCAUUCAUUCCCAGUUCCCCAUUCCCAGUUUCCCAUUCCCAGUUUCCCAUUCCCAUUCCCAGUUUCCCAUUCCCAGUUUCCCAUUCCCAGUUUCCCAUUCAUUCCCAGUUCCCCAUUCAUUCCCAGUUUCCCAUUCAUUCCCAGUUUCCCAUUCCCAUUCCCAGUUUCCCAUUCCCAGUUUCCCAUUCCCAUUCCCAGUUUCCCAUUCCCAGUUUCCCAUUCCCAGUUUCCCAUUCCCAUUCCCAGUUU
rnacentral:lncRNA from 1 species